rnacentral:tRNA from 1 species
AGCAGCAUGGCUUAAUUGGAAAAGCGCCCUCCUGCCAGGGGGAAAUAUCAGUUCGAUGCUGGUUGGUGCUG